UAUUGAAAAAGGCAAACUUAUUGAAAAAUAAGGACGCAAAGCCGCGAGUCUAAGGCGUAAGCUAUGAUAGUCGGGCUGCCAGG
rfam:Bacillus infantis NRRL B-14911, complete genome.